rnacentral:misc_RNA from 1 species
GAAUUGUCUUUAAAGUUUGAAAGACACUUGGAUUCUGAGAUAAUUGAUUUUCAGAUAUUGCUAUUCAAAGCUUGCAUUUUUAUGUGCUGAUCGUUCUGUUUGCCUACAUGCGAAAUAUGGAAAACAUUACAGCUUGCGGAUUCCAAGGAUGGGAAGGGAUAUUGCAUAUGAUUGCUGGUCAUGUGACUUGCUUGUGCUGCUUCAUCUCCAGAUUUAUAUCGGAUUAAUUUAGAACAGGGACGAUUUCUAUCCUCACUCAACACGCAAUCACAGGCCCUGAAUAUAGUUAGUCGUAGCAAGCUUCACGGGCUGGUUGCUUGUGGUGGCGAGGAUGGUGCUGUGGAAUGUUUUGAUAUGAGGAUGAGAUCUUCAGUUGGUAGAAUUAAUGCAGUGGCACCUGCUGGUGAUAUUGAUCAGGAGGUCACUGCAUUAGAGUUUGACGAGGAUGGGGGUUUCUUCAUGGCUGUUGGAAGUAGCACUGGGAAGGUAUUGCUUUAUGAUCUGCGAUCCUCACAACCUGUGCGAGUUAAGGAUCAUAUGUAUGGCAGCCCAAUAUUGGACAUUAAGUGGCAUCGAACUCUCAAUUCUGAACGAGAUAUGCUAAUUACUACGGAUAAUCAUAUAGUUAGAAUAUGGGAUCCUGAGACGGGAAAUGGCAUGACAAGCAUUGAACCUACAGCUGGAACGAUAAAUGAUAUAUGUGUAUUCAAUAACAGUGGUUUGAUGUUACUGGCUUUGGACUGCAGCCAGAUACCAUCUUACUUUAUUCCUUCUUUGGGACCUGCUCCUAAGUGGUGCUCUAAUCUUGAAAAUCUAACAGAAGAGCUGGAGGAGAAUGCACAAACAACCAUAUAUGAUGAUUACAAAUUUUUGACAAAAGAAGAUCUUGAAAAAUUGAAUUUGACAAAUUUGAUUGGAACCAAUCUUCUAAGAGCAUACAUGCAUGGCUUCUUCAUUGAUUAUCGGUUGUAUAAGAAGGCAAAAGCAUUGGCAGAUCCUUUUGCCUAUGAAGCUUAUAUAGAGCAGCGGAAACGAGAGAAAUUGGAAGCUCAACUCAAAUCUCGAAUUACGACUAGGAGAAGACUACCCAAGGUCAACCGUGAUCUUGCAGCUAGGAUCCUUGAAAAUGAAGAAGUUGAGAAUGAAAAGAAAGAUGCUGAUGAAAAUGAGACCAAAAAACCAUCAAAGAAAAAGAAAGGACUUAGCAGUGAGUUAUUUCAAGAUGAGAGAUUUGCAUCGUUGUUCAAAAAUAAGGACUUUGAGAUUGAUGAGCAGUCGCGAGAAUAUUUGGCUUUACAUCCACUGGCUUCUGAUUCCAAGAAGCAACCCUCUUUGCUAGAGGAACACUUUGAACCCGUAAUGGAUGAUGAAGAUCAGAAUUUGAGUGAUGAUGCUGCCUCAUCUGAGUCAUCAGAAGAUGAGCCUGGCGAUGAUAAGAGAAAAAUAAAAAAUAAAUCACAAGUUCCAAGAUUAUAUGAAGUGAAGGAUGAGCGGCAUGCAGAGGCAUUCUGGAACAGAGUAUCACUCGCAAAGGAAGAUUCUCUUCCGUUGGGGGAGAGAGUGGCAGCUCUUGGAGAUGACCGGCACACUUCUGGACUUCCAAACAAUGUGAAGUUGGGACCAGGAGGGUCACGAGAGAUUUCCUUCAUUACAAGAAGCUCAGCCAAGUGCAAGGAGGAUAAGGAAGACACAGAAACAGAAACACGGGGUGCAAAGAGGAGGGGAGUACAGUCAUUAGGUCUAAAGUCCGGUAGAUCAGGAGGGUUUAGAGGUGGCGGAAGAGGGAAUCGGGGGAAGGGGGAAGGGCAGAAGAGGCCGACGGUGAACAUGAACACAUCGAUUCAGGUGCAAGUGAUUUCUGACUCGUAUAGCUUUAGCUGCACUUGGUGGCUUCACUGGCC